CAAUGCGUAGUAAAUUGCUGUGGUUCUUUCAUGGUAAAAAUCAGUCAUGCAUGGGAGAAUUGACAGUUUAUCUGGUGCCAGGGGAGUUUUCCUGAUCUGGUAACUUAACCAGGCAAAACUCUGGACCUUAUAUGGUAUGACGUGGUUAAUUUAUUGUGAAACUGUUUAAUAUAGGCUAUAAUGAGAGCGACGUUUUUCUAAUCAGGUCACAUGAUUUCUUCAAAACUCCUGGAAAAUGUCAUGGCCUUGGGGAGAAUGAAAACCUUGUCAAACUGCAUCAACCUUUUACUUGUUUAAAGGAGGACUAGGGGGGUGCCUAUACACAAUAUGAUUGGGCAAUAAAACUCCGAGGGCUGAGCUUGCUUCAUGCAGAUUUACGUCGUGUAGUCCUGCGCUAUGCUGCUGCAGGCCUAACAAAACCUUUACUCAGUCUGCGCUAUUGUGUAUAUUGAUUAAUUGCAGUUACUAAUUUUGAUAGAAAAUGUCUAGGUAGCUUAGUCCGGCGAGGUUUGAAUAUAAACCAAAUGUGAUAUAAUUCACAUUUUCUCACAUACAAAUGGGCUAUAGGCUAAAUAUACAAUAUUUCCGCUUAAUUUACACUUGCCAGAAGGACAGGGCGCAUAGUAGGCUUGAUCAACUCCGGUCCUCCAGGACCACCAACAGGCGCACCUGAUUCUACUUGUCAGGUAAUCAUCAACCCCUUGAUAAGUUUAAUCAGGUGUUUUUUGUCUAAAUUUAGGCUGCUACAUUUAUGUAAGAGUUUUUGCAUGUCUGUCGGGAGUGAUUUGUUAUCAUGCUUGCUAAAUAAAUACCGGAGGAAAGUGGCAAGCUCGACUUGCAUGUUGUGCCCGGCCCGCGCAACAGGAAAAGAGCCUGCAGCAGCACUCCGAUGUGAAAGACAUAUACAUUGUCAGUACCCUGUUUAGCCUGCCAGAAGUUGACCCUGGAGUUGAAGCUCAUCAAAGUUGUUUCACCAUGGCACAUGAUCGUCGACCUCUAGUGUGUUUACAGACAAUCGCAUCCCCACAUGCUUCAAGAGGGCCACCAUUGUUGCUGUUCUCAAGAAAGCUAAGGUAACUGAGCUAAAUGACUACGGCCCUGUAGCACUAACUUACGUCAUCAUGAAGUGCUUUAAGAGACUAGUCAAGGACCAUAUCACCUCCACCCUAGACCCACUCCAAUUUGCUCUUUGCCCCAAUAGGUCCACAGAUGACGCAAUCGCCAGCACACUGCCC